GAGGGACGGCGGUGUCCGGCCGGGGCGGGGGCCGCAGGGACGGCGGUGUCCGGCCGGGGCGGGGGCGCGGAGUGCAGGUGUGGGCUGCGUCCGAGAGGGUCCGGGGAACUCGGCUUCCUCAGCGCCGAGUGCCAGCCGCCGGGACCCGGCCGCGAAGGUGGAGAGGCCGCUUCUGGUUCCUUGUCGUCACCACCAAUAAAACACUGUUAUGGCCUCUGUGCCCAGGCGGUGCUAGACAGAUAGUAGCCAUGGAUGAAAAAGACCCCCAGAAGGAACGACCCCGGAAGGAACGAGCAACAGCCGUCCAAAAAAAAAGGAGCUUGGCCGUCAGCCCUGACGGGUUCCUGGUUAUGCAGAUUCUGAAGUCGGUUAAGUCCCGGCUCAGAUAAUAGGAUUCAGUAAAGGAGUGUUUUGUAAACUUCAGGAGCCACGCGUCAGUGGGAUGUGGUGGCCAGCAUGAAACACAUCCACAAUAAUAGUAGGAUGUGGGGGGAGGGCCAGAGAAUCAACAUUUGCAUCCCACACAGCAAGGGUGCUAUUUCGGGACGGAUCAUGCUUUUAGUGUCUUGACUUCAUGUUUUUCAGAUACCUUAUUUGCCUAAGAAGCCUCUUUAAAUCUUCUCGAUGCUUCAUCUUAUGUUGACUUUGAGGAUUUAAAAUUCUCUUCAGUGUCUGAGCAAAAUUGUGAGCUGUGCAGUCCAUUUCUGCUACCAUUCAUCUGCCAGAUGAUAACUUUUUGUACUAGCUUCAAGAAUAGUGUGUUCAACAGGUAGUAUGUGGUCCUGAUCAAACAAAUUAAUGACCAGUCUACCCACGGACCAAGCCCUCUGCCAUCACAGCAUUUGCAGAACAUGCCAGCCUCCUAUCAGUGGCCAAUGAAAGGAAGGCCAUGAGCACUGAGGAGCUGUUCACACACUAUGCAACCCCAGGUGUGAUGUUUAUCUUAGAGAGUCUGGGAAUUGAGCAAGAGCUUACUGCUGCUGCAAAGUGGACACCUACGUUCUUCUAUCACCUCCGCGUCAGUGAUUGGCUUGUUCUGUGCAGGGCAAGCAAACCUAAGUCUUUUUUCUUCUUUUAAACAAUUUGUCAAGUGUGCACAUGAGAGAGAAUUAGCUUCCAUUUUCUGGCUUACUUCCUCAAAUGCCUGCAAUUACUGAGGCUGGGCCAAAACCAGGGGCCAGGAAUCCAAUCCAGGUCCCCUGUGUGGGUAGCAGGAACCCAAUUACUUGAGUGGUUGCCACUGCUGUCCAAGGUCUACACUGGCAGGAAUUUGGAAGUUGGAGCUGGAACCAGUUAUCAGACUAGAUAGUCCAACGUGGGUUGUGGACUUCUUAACUGACAUCCUAACCACCAGGCUAAAUGUCCAUCCCUUAACCUGGGUUUUAUUUAAGAUUCUACAACAAUGCAGAUUUUGUCUCACUCUUUUUCCUACUGUUUCUUCCAGUAAGUCAAGUUGGAGACAUUUAAAAAAUGCAAGAUAUUAAACUUUCCUUAAUCUCCUUAUACUGUCAAAAAUCUUAAUAUUAAAUAAACUUUGAACUUCCUAUUA